rnacentral:rRNA from 1 species
GACGAACGCUGGCGGCGUGCCUAAUACAUGCAAGUCGAACGAACUCUGGUAUUGAUUGGUGCUUGCAUCAUGAUUUACAUUUGAGUGAGUGGCGAACUGGUGAGUAACACGUGGGAAACCUGCCCAGAAGCGGGGGAUAACACCUGGAAACAGAUGCUAAUACCGCAUAACAACUUGGACCGCAUGGUCCGAGUUUGAAAGAUGGCUUCGGCUAUCACUUUUGGAUGGUCCCGCGGCGUAUUAGCUAGAUGGUGGGGUAACGGCUCACCAUGGCAAUGAUACGUAGCCGACCUGAGAGGGUAAUCGGCCACAUUGGGACUGAGACACGGCCCAAACUCCUACGGGAGGCAGCAGUAGGGAAUCUUCCACAAUGGACGAAAGUCUGAUGGAGCAACGCCGCGUGAGUGAAGAAGGGUUUCGGCUCGUAAAACUCUGUUGUUAAAGAAGAACAUAUCUGAGAGUAACUGUUCAGGUAUUGACGGUAUUUAACCAGAAAGCCACGGCUAACUACGUGCCAGCAGCCGCGGUAAUACGUAGGUGGCAAGCGUUGUCCGGAUUUAUUGGGCGUAAAGCGAGCGCAGGCGGUUUUUUAAGUCUGAUGUGAAAGCCUUCGGCUCAACCGAAGAAGUGCAUCGGAAACUGGGAAACUUGAGUGCAGAAGAGGACAGUGGAACUCCAUGUGUAGCGGUGAAAUGCGUAGAUAUAUGGAAGAACACCAGUGGCGAAGGCGGCUGUCUGGUCUGUAACUGACGCUGAGGCUCGAAAGUAUGGGUAGCAAACAGGAUUAGAUACCCUGGUAGUCCAUACCGUAAACGAUGAAUGCUAAGUGUUGGAGGGUUUCCGCCCUUCAGUGCUGCAGCUAACGCAUUAAGCAUUCCGCCUGGGGAGUACGGCCGCAAGGCUGAAACUCAAAGGAAUUGACGGGGGCCCGCACAAGCGGUGGAGCAUGUGGUUUAAUUCGAAGCUACGCGAAGAACCUUACCAGGUCUUGACAUACUAUGCAAAUCUAAGAGAUUAGACGUUCCCUUCGGGGACAUGGAUACAGGUGGUGCAUGGUUGUCGUCAGCUCGUGUCGUGAGAUGUUGGGUUAAGUCCCGCAACGAGCGCAACCCUUAUUAUCAGUUGCCAGCAUUAAGUUGGCACUCUGGUGAGACUGCCGGUGACAAACCGGAGGAAGGUGGGGAUGACGUCAAAUCAUCAUGCCCCUUAUGACCUGGGCUACACACGUGCUACAAUGGAUGGUACAACGAGUUGCGAACUCGCGAGAGUAAGCUAAUCUCUUAAAGCCAUUCUCAGUUCGGAUUGUAGGCUGCAACUCGCCUACAUGAAGUCGGAAUCGCUAGUAAUCGCGGAUCAGCAUGCCGCGGUGAAUACGUUCCCGGGCCUUGUACACACCGCCCGUCACACCAUGGGAGUUUGUAACACCCAAAGUCGGUGGGGUAACCUUUUAGGAACCAGCCGCCUAAGGUGGGACAGAUGAUUAGGGUG